GACGAACGCUGGCGGCGUGCUUAACACAUGCAAGUCGAACGGGCCUGUCUUCUUUUUUGGGGGGUGGGUUGAGUGGCGAACGGGUGAGUAUCACGUGAGUAACCCGCCCUUCGGUCCUGGAUAACCGCUUGAAAGGGCGGCUAAUACGGGGUGGUCCGGUUGGUCCGCAUGGGCUGGUCGGGAUAGAUUCACUGUUUUUGGUGUUUCGGCGGGGGAUGGGCUCGCGGCCUAUCAGCUUGUUGGUGGGGUGAUGGCCUACCAAGGCGGUGACGGGUAGCCGGCCUGAGAGGGUGGGCGGCCACACUGGGACUGAGAUACGGCCCAGACUCCUGCGGGAGGCAGCAGUGGGGGGUAUUGCACAAUGGGCGGAAGCCUGAUGCAGCGACGUCGCGUGAGGGAUGGAGGCCUUCGGGUUGUGAACCUCUGUUUCCGGUGGUGAAGGCCCUGUCCGUGUGGUGGGGUUGACGGUAGCCGGGGAUGAAGCGCCGGCUAACUACGUG
rnacentral:rRNA from 1 species